ensembl:lncRNA
GUGGCCCUGAGCCAGAGACUCGAGAGGAACACAAGCCAUUCAAGACCAGGAGGGGCUCAGACCUCGGGCAGGAGCCGCUGAUCUUCUGACCGCCCAGCCCUAAGCCCAGCACUGGGCUCUCAUCACCUCAUGGCACAUUUGGACCAAGCCUGGAGCACAUGUCUGGGUUUAUGAUGGGCGGAAAUUGUUUGCUGAACAAAAAGGAUUCUUACAUCUUCUGUGGGACGGCCUUGGAGACUGACAUGUAGGGGAAGAGCUGCUCGACUUCUGGUGAAAAUUUCAGCGUUGAAACGCACGCUGGGGGUGACGGGCACCUGCCCAUGGCAUCCUCAUGGUCAGCGUGGCCUCCCAGGCUCUGUCAUCCUGUCCCUCUGAUCAGUCCAGGGUGGGCAGGAGAGUCGCUGUGAUUUCAGCACUCGUGACCCUGCUCAGCCCCACUCCAUGGGGAAGGAGAGAAGCACCAGCCCCGGAGAGGACACACCCUGUGGUCUGUCUGUCCAGAGGACACCUAGAUCUCCUCCAUCCUCACAGCCUGGACCGCAGGGAGGAGACGCCAUGGCCCCCGCGCUCCCCGCCCUGCUCUGUCUCGGGCUGAGUGUGGGCCUGAGGACCCAAGUGCAGGCCAGUGAGUCUGUCUCAGGGCCUGGCUCCCUCCUCUCGUGGGGACAGGGGUCACACAGGGGACAGGGGAGGGACAGGGGAGGGAGGGGGCAGCUCAGGGCUCACGGAUGGGGAGUCUGGGAGGUCUGGGCUGAGAGCCGGAGCCUGGGCGCAGGGGAUGCCUGGUGAACCCGUCUCUAAUUUCCUUCCAGAGACCCUCCCAAAACCCACCAUCUGGGCAGAGCCAGGCUCUGUGGUCCCCAGGGGUAGCUCCGUGACCAUCUGGUGUCAGGGGUCCCCCAGGGCCCAGGAGUUCCAUCUGGAUAAAGAGGGAAACCCAGAUCUCUGGGACAGACAGAAACCCCCAGGUCCCGGGGACAAGGCCAGGUUCUCCAUCCACUACAUGAGAGAGGACCACGCAGGGAGCUAUCGGUGCUACUACGGAACCCGCACUGGCUGGUCAGAGCGCAGUGACCCCCUGCAGCUGGUGGUGACACGUGAGGGACUCUCGCGGGCCUCGGGCUCUGCCAUCAGGAGGGGGUCUGCUCUCAGGGGCUGUCCCUCUCACAGCCCAGCCCUGGGGAGGGGAGGGGAGGGGAGGGUGGGGGCCCCACGGAACCAGCUGCCUCCUUCUCUCCUAGGAUCCUACGGCAAACCCAGCUUCUCAGCCCUGCCGAGCCCUGUGGUGACCUCAGGAAGGAACAUGACCCUCAAGUGCGGCUCCCGUUGGGGAUUUAACAGAUUCCUUCUGACCAAGAAAGGAGAAGACGAGGUCUCUUGGACACUAGAUGGACAGCGAAGCCCCGACGGGCAGACCCAGGCCCUGUUCCCCGUGGGCCCUGUGACCCCCGGGCACGGGUGGACGUUCAGAUGCUACGGCUUUAACAGGGACACCCCCCGGGUGUGGUCGGCCCCCAGCGAUCCCCCGGAGCUCCUGGUCCCAGGGCUGUCUGGGAAGCCUUCCCUCCUGACCCCGCAGGGCCCUGUUGUCACCUCUGGACAGAACCUGACCCUCCAGUGUCACUCUGACAUCGGCUACACCAGAUUCGCUCUGUCCAAGGAGGGGGGACAGGAUCUCCCACAGCACCCUGCCCGGAGGCCCCGGGGGGGCUCGCUCAGGCCGACUUCCCCCUGGGCCCUGUGGGCACCUUCCACAGGGGCCAGUACAGAUGCUACAGUGGACACGGCCUCUCCUCCGAGUGGUCGGCGCCCAGUGACCCCCUGGAGCUGCUGGUGGCAGGUGAGGAGACAGCGGGUCAGUCGGGGACCAGACUCUGCACAGGCCCCACCGGGGAGCCCCAGGGGUGAGGCUGGGACCAGGGGGAGGGGUCCCAGGGAGGGACAGAGAGACAGGGGUUGGGGAGGGGAGAGACUGAGAAACAGAGACAGCGCUGAGGGGCCAGAGAGGCCCGCAGAGUCUCGCUCAGAACCCGGGCCGGCGGCCGCACCCCCUUCCUCUCUGCAGGACGGCUCAGAGACAGACCCUCCCUCUUGGUGCAGCCGGGCCCCUCGGUGGCCCCGGGGGAGAAUGUGA